rnacentral:rRNA from 1 species
UACGUAGGGGGCGAGCGUUGUCCGGAUUUACUGGGCGUAAAGAGCGUGUAGGCGGCCAAGCAGGUCCGUUGUGAAAACUGGAGGCUUAACCUCCAGACGUCGACGGAAACCGCGUGGCUAGAGUCCGGAAGAGGAGAGUGGAAUUCCUGGUGUAGCGGUGAAAUGCGCAGAUAUCGGGAAGAACACCCGUGGCGAAGGCGGUUCUCUGGGACGGUACUGACGCUGAGACGCGAAAGCGUGGGGAGCGAACAGG